rnacentral:rRNA from 1 species
AGAGUUUGAUCCUGGCUCAGAACAAACGCUGGCGGCGUGUCUUAAGCAUGCAAGUCGAGCGGCAAGGCGGGGCGACCCGCCCUAUAGCGGCGGACUGGUGAGUAACGCGUGGGUAAUCUACCUUGGGCAUGGGGAUAGCCAUUAUAAAUAGUGGGUAAUACCGAAUACACUCGCGGGGGGAAGGGUCCUGUGAGGAAAGGGUGCUACGGCACCGGCCUGACUGAGCUCGCGUCCCAUUACCUAGUUGGUGAGGUAAGGGCCCACCAAGGCGAUGAUGGGUAGCCGGCCUGAGAGGGUGUACGGCCACACUGGGACUGAGAUACGGCCCAGACUCCUACGGGAGGCAGCAGCUAAGAAUAUUCCGCAAUGGACGAAGGUCUGACGGAGCGACCCCGCGUGGAUGAAGAAGGCCGAAAGGUUGUAAAGUUCUUUUGCGAGGGAAGAAUAACCGCAGGAGGGAAUGCCUGUGGGAUGACAUGAACUUGCGAAUAAGCCCCGGCCAACUACGUGCCAGCAGCCGCGGUAACACGUACGGGGCGAGCGUUGUUCGGAAUUACUGGGCGUAAAGGGCAUGUAGGCGGUCUGGUAAGCCUGGCGUGAAAGACCACAGCUUAACUGUGGCGUUGCGUUGGGAACUGCUGGGCUUGAGUGACGGAGACGGAGCUGGAAUUCAUGAUGUAGGGGUGAAAUCUGUAGAUAUCAAGAAGAACACCGAUGGCGAAAGCAAGCUCCUGGCCGAUGACUGACGCUGAUGUGCGAAAGUGUGGGGAUCAAACACGAGUAGAUACCCUGGUAGUCCACACGGUGAACGAUGUGCACUAAGGUGCUGGGGCGGUAGCCUCGGUGCCAGGAUCGAACGUGGUAAGUGCACCGCCUGGUGAGUAUGCUCGCAGGGUGAAACUCAAUGAGUUGACGG